rnacentral:rRNA from 1 species
UACGUAGGGUGCAAGCGUUAAUCGGAAUUACUGGGCGUAAAGCGUGCGCAGGCGGCUUUGCAAGACAGAUGUGAAAUCCCCGGGCUCAACCUGGGAACUGCAUUUGUGACUGCAAGGCUAGAGUACGGCAGAGGGGGAUGGAAUUCCGCGUGUAGCAGUGAAAUGCGUAGAUAUGCGGAGGAACACCAAUGGCGAAGGCAAUCCCCUGGGCCUGUACUGACGCUCAUGCACGAAAGCAUGGGGAGCAAACAGG